AAGUCGUAACAAGGUUUCCGUAGGUGAACCUGCGGAAGGAUCAUUAUUGAUGGCUUCGGCCUUUUCUAUACACACACCUGUCGCACCAUGGCGUUCGCGCCUAUUUACAAACAACGAGUGUAACGAACGUGUCUUAUUUAACAAAUAAA
rnacentral:misc_RNA from 1 species